rnacentral:rRNA from 1 species
UACGAAGGGGGCGAGCGUUGUUCGGAAUUACUGGGCGUAAAGGGCGCGUAGGCGGCCGAUCAAGUCAGAUGUGAAAGUCCUGGGCUUAACCUGGGGACUGCAUUUGAUACUGAUUGGCUUGAAUGCAGGAGAGGAUGGCGGAAUUCCCGGUGUAGAGGUGAAAUUCGUAGAUAUCGGGAGGAACACCUGUGGCGAAGGCGGCCAUCUGGACGUCAACUGACGCUGAGACGCGAAAGCAUGGGGAGCAAACAGG